rnacentral:rRNA from 1 species
UACGAAGGGGGCUAGCGUUGUUCGGAUUUACUGGGCGUAAAGCGCACGUAGGCGGAUCGAUCAGUCAGGGGUGAAAUCCCAGAGCUCAACUCUGGAACUGCCUUUGAUACUGUCGAUCUGGAGUAUGGAAGAGGUGAGUGGAAUUCCGAGUGUAGAGGUGAAAUUCGUAGAUAUUCGCAAGAACACCAGUGGCGAAGGCGGCUCACUGGCCCGGAACUGACGCUGAGACGCGAAAGCGUGGGGAGCAAACAGG